rnacentral:rRNA from 1 species
UGAGUACAAGAUGCUACGGCAUUGAAGCAGUCUAUGUCAUACUUCCAAGAAAAGCUUGCAAUGUCAUAAACAAAUAAUGCCUGUACCAUAACCGACACAGGUGGGUAGGUAGAGUAUACUAAGGGGCGCGAGAUAACUCUCUCUAAGGAACUCGGCAAAAUGACUCCGUAACUUCGGGAGAAGGAGUACCUUAUUUUAUAAGGUUGCAAUAACAAGGUCCAAGCAACUGUUUACCAAAAACACAGGUCUCCGCUAAGUCGUAAGACGAUGUAUGGGGGCUGACGCCUGCCCAGUGCCAGAAGGUUAAAGAAGUUGGUUAGCAUUAGCGAAGCUGAUAACUGAAGCCCUGGUGAACGGCGGCCGUAACGAUAACGGUCCUAAGGUAGCGAAAUUCCUUGUCGGGUAAGUUCCGACCCGCACGAAAGGCGUAAUGAUUUGGAUACUGUCUCGGAGAGGGGCUCGGUGAAAUAGACUUGUCUGUGAAGAUGCGGACUACCUGCACCUGGACAGAAAGACCCUAUGAAGCUUUACUGUAACUUGAGAUUGAAAUUGGACUUUAUUUGCGCAGUAUAGGUGGGAGACCUCGAAAGUAUUCUUGCGGGAAUAUUGGAGUCAUCAGUGAGAUACCACUCUUAUAAUGUUAGAUUUCUAACUUUGUAUCAUUAUCUGGUCAAAGAACAGUUUCAGGCGGGCAGUUUGACUGGGGCGGUCGCCUCCCAAAUGGUAACGGAGGCGCACAAAGGUUUCCUCUGAACGUGUAGAAAUCGUAUCUAGAGUGUAAAGGCAUAAGGAAGCUUGACUGUGAGACCUACAAGUCGAGCAGGGACGAAAGUCGGUCUUAGUGAUCUGACGGUGCUGAGUGGAAAGGCCGUCACUCAACGGAUAAAAGUUACUCUAGGAUAACAGGCUGAUCUCCCCCAAGAGUUCACAUCGACGGGGAGGUUUGGCACCUCGAUGUCGGCUCAUCGCAUCCUGGGGCGGUAGUACGUCCCAAGGGUUGGGCUGUUCGCCCAUGAAAGCGGUACGCGAGCUGGGUUCAGAACGUCGUGAGACAGUUCGGUCCAUAUCCGGUGUAGGCGUUAGAAUAUUGAGAGGAGCCUUCUUUAGUACGAGAGGACCGAGAAGGACAUACCUCUGGUGUACCAGUUAUCGUGCCAACGGUAAACGCUGGGUAGCUAUGUAUGGAGAGGAUAACCGCUGAAAGCAUCUAAGUGGGAAGCCCACCUCAAGAUAAGUAUUCU